rnacentral:tRNA from 2 species
GUGGGUGUAGCUCAGUUGGUUAGAGCGCCGGCUUGUGGUGCCGGAGGUCGAGGGUUCGAGCCCCUCCUCUCACCCCA